AGGGUUUGAUUCUGGCUCAGGAUGAACGCUGGCGGCGUGCUUAACACAUGCAAGUCGAACGAGAAUCACAUGAAGGAGUUUUCGGACAACAGAUUGUGAGGAAAGUGGCGGACGGGUGAGUAACGCGUGAGCAAUCUGCCUUGGAGUGGGGAAUAACAGCUGGAAACAGCUGCUAAUACCGCAUGAUGCAAGUGUCUCGCAUGGGACUGCUUGCCAAAGAUUUAUCGCUCUAAGAUGAGCUCGCGUCUGAUUAGCUAGUUGGUGAGGUAACGGCUCACCAAGGCGACGAUCAGUAGCCGGACUGAGAGGUUGGCCGGCCACAUUGGGACUGAGACACGGCCCAG
rnacentral:rRNA from 1 species